AACGCACAUUGCGCCCUUUGGUAUUCCGAAGGGCAUGCCUGUCCGAGCGUCAUUAUCAACCAUCAAGCCCGGCUUGUCGUUGGGCCUGCGUCGCUGUUUCACCAGUGACGGGCCCGAAAGAUAAUGACGGUGUCGUGUCUGACCCUCGAUGCAACGAGCCUUACGGCAUGCAUUGUGGCGGUGGAUCGCGCCGGUCGAACCCCCUUCUAUCAUCAAGGUUGACCUCGGAUCAGGUAGGAAUACCCGCUGAACUUAA
rnacentral:misc_RNA from 1 species